rnacentral:misc_RNA from 1 species
UGUUGUCCUCAUAAUCUCCUCUUUAUCCUUGCAUUGUGGGAACUCCAAUAACGAGACUUGUGUCUUGAGUUUGUGCAUAUAUAAUAAACCCACUUCCUUUCCCUUCUACCUAUCACAGCAUUAGCAUUCACUACUCCAAUAUCUAAACCUCUUCAGCUUCAGCUCCUUUGCUUCUUCUCAUAGAUCGUUCUUUCUUUGCCUUCAUAGACAAGAUGAUCAGUCCCAAGAAACUCCUUAAAUUAGUAAGAAAAUAGCAGAAACUGGCUACCAUCAGGCAAAAAGAAUCACGCUGCCACAAACCAUUGGAAGCACGGAUACAAGCAGUUGCAGCACAUCUGAAAAAGCUAAGAAAGGCCACUUUGCAGUAUACUCUUCCAAUCAAAAACGGUUUUUUGCUUCCAUUGGAAUUUCUUGACAAUGAAAUUAUAGAAAACUAUUCCAAAUAGCAGAGGAAGAGUUUGGAUUGGUGAGCAAUGAAUCUCUUACAUUACUAUGCGAGGCAGGGCUUUUGGAAUAUGUAAUUGUUUUGAUCAAAGAGCAGCAUGUUUCUAGAGAUGUAAAGAGAGCAUUAUGGACUUCCAUAGCUAGUAGUUGUUGUUCAUCAUCUCUGAAUCUUCAACAUGCCAUCAAUUAGCAAUUUGUAGCUUCUGAACUGCUAUAGUUACAUAUAUAAAGAUCUGAUCAUUUAUUCAAGCUCUAUGGUU